GCCUAGCCGUAAACUUUUAAUUACACCUAUACCGCCAGGGAACUACGAGCAAAGCUUGAAACCCAAAGGACUUGACGGUACCCCACAUCCACCUAGAGGAGCCUGUCCUAUAAUCGAUAACCCCCGCUUAACCUCACCAUUUUUGGCCUUUCAGCCUGUAUACCUCCGUCGUCAGCUUACCCCGUGAGCGCCAACUAGUGAGCUUAAUGCCCUUACGCCAACACGUCAGGUCAAGGUGCAGCACAUAAAAUGGGAAGAGAUGGGCUACACUAUCUAACCUAGAUCAAACGAAAGACUACCUAUGAAACCUAGUCAGAAGGCGGAUUUAGAAGUAAAGAAAGACCAAAGUGCUCUCUUUAACUCGGCACUGGGGUGUGUACACACCGCCCGUCACCCUCUUCAAAGCUUUAAUCUAGUUUAUUACACUAUUAAGCACCACAGAAGAGGCAAGUCGUAACAUGGUAAGUAUACCGGAAGGUGUGCUUGGAAA
rnacentral:rRNA from 1 species